AAAAGAGGCAAAACAGAGAGUUUUUGGAUUUUAUUAACAAGGGUGGUUGCCCCUCUCUUGUUUAGCCUAUGAAUGAUUCUUUUAGAGAUGAAGCAACAACCCUUGAAUUCAUGUUAAUUUCCUGGGAAUUAUUGGAACAUGCAUGCCAUACAUACAUACAUACAACAAACAUACAUAUAUUCCUCAACUUUCCAAUUCUACAUCUAUGCCAUUCUCUUUUUUGUUAAUUAAUUACUCACUCUUUGUUGGUGUUUGAUCUAUUGAGGCUGUGAUGAUGAUGAUGAUGGGCUAACCGGAUCGGGCUUGGAGAUUAUGCGACUCGUAUCUUGGCUUGGCAAAUUUUGCAGCCAUGGCGUGGUCGUCUCUCUCUUUGUUCCGAUCUCUUUGCAGAUCUGAGCCUUUUGGACACAUGCAUGUGUUUCUGGGAAAUGACUGAAUUAUUGAACAUGGAAAAUUAAACCUUUUCUUCAACUUCAACAACUAUGGUUACAAACUCUGUUUCUUCUGUGUUUUUUUUUUAUCCAAA
rnacentral:misc_RNA from 1 species